rnacentral:lncRNA from 1 species
AAAUUUUAACUAAGAUUAAUUUAAUCAAACUACUUUUUUCUCUCUAUGAGUUAAUAUUUUCUUAAGCGUGUCAAAGACAAAAAUAUCCCCUUUUGUUUUUGUUUUUCUUAUUUCCAAUUUCCUCCUAUAAACUUAAAACGUCAAAUGUCCAGUCUUUCACCAUUUUAAUCCAAAAAUUCACUGGAAAUUUCAACUGUAAAAACACUUCAAUCAAACAUAUUUAUUCACCUUAUAUUUAAAAGCUAUAAAAUCUGAAAUUUCAAAACAGAAGAGGCAGCAAAUUAAAAGGAAAAAAAACGUAACUUCAUUAAACCAAUUUCGGAACUAUUGUUCCUUUUUUAUUUCGGUAUAUUGAGGCUCAGAUCUGUGAUAAAAUCAGGGCAAAGGAGACACAGCAACCGCCAUGGCUGCAAACCUCAGUUGCACUAUAAUAAAAUAGGCCUUCCGGUUUGCCCCGCCAAGAUACGGGCCGCUCCAUUGACCCGACGCGAACUCUAGACGACACCUUAAUCAUCACAGCCUCUCAUCCGUUACAGUAACAAUAAAUCACUUAAUUGGAUCGGAGGGAGUAAUAAUAAUAAUAAUAAUAAUAAUAACAAUAACGAAGAUGAUGAUGAUGAUGAGGAAGAAGCAGAAGCAGAAGCAGAAGGAUAGAUCUGGCAACUUCAGCUGUCUCCGUAUAUAUACAUAUAUAUACAUAUAUAUAUACACACACGUGUGUGUGUUUCAGAUCUUAAGCUUAACCAAACAGACCCUUAAGAUGACUGGUGGUUUAUUAGAGCCGCGUUUGGUGAGAAUGGAAAAGGAAAUCGUAGGCAGAAAACAGAGAGAGGGCAACCACCAUUAGAGACUCCCAACAACCUCUCUGCGGCCUCAUUCUUUCCGUCUAGACUUCAUUUACACAGAAUCGGUUUCGUCGCGGAGAGGAUAUUUAUAGCAGUACCCUAUGGUAUCUGUAUUUACAUGUAUGACCUUAGUUUUACCCGGUAUUUGCAAAAGCUGAACACUGGAAUGAUACAGUUUGUAAGGGUAAUUUCGUCAGUCUAAGCUCAAACUUAUCCUUAAAACUUUUUAUCUUUG